rnacentral:lncRNA from 1 species
GGGUUUACUAUUUUAUAUUAUAGUUUGAUGGGAUUCAAGUCAAGAUGGAGAUUUAUUAAGUGUGGUAAAUUUUGGUGUGACCCGAUUUAUGAUCUGAUUUGACUAACUUAGGGAGGCGAUCUAAGCAAUUUUUUUGUGAAGUUUGUAGUCGCAGCGGAGAGCUUGGGUGGCCUAAGCCUGGAGUACACCACUAACCUCUUGCAGGGGUGUGGAGACGUAACCCCGGCAAUAUCGAUCCGAUCCAUUUUUAAACUUUAAUUGGCCCGUUUGGUCAUUUUUAUCUUUUUUUAUUAUUUUAGAAUUUGACAUUUAUAUAUUGUAAUCAUGUCUUUUGUUAUUUAAGCUACUACACACUAUAGAGAUUAUUGCUCAUCCUCUU